CCACGAUUUUGUUCUGCAAGGUGUCCGUUCCCGUGGCAAACAGCUGUAUAAAUCUCUUAUAAACAGGAUUGUUCAGCCCCUCUGGAUUGGUUAGAGGGAUGCCUUAACGUGCCAGGUUUCCACAGAUAUGGAAGCAGGAACUGAAAGCCCG